UACGUAGGGUGCAAGCGUUAUCCGGAAUUAUUGGGCGUAAAGAGCUCGUAGGCGGUUUGUCGCGUCUGCUGUGAAACUGGAGGCUCAACCUCCAGCCUGCAGUGGGUACGGGCAGACUAGAGUGCGGUAGGGGAGAUUGGAAUUCCUGGUGUAGCGGUGGAAUGCGCAGAUAUCAGGAGGAACACCGAUGGCGAAGGCAG
rnacentral:rRNA from 1 species